CUUGGUCAUUUAGAGGAAGUAAAAGUCGUAACAAGGUUUCCGUAGGUGAACCUGCGGAAGGAUCAUUAUUGAAUUUACUGGGAGCUUGGAUGCUGGCAGUCUAUGAUUGCAUGUGCUCGCUCCUUUAAUCCACUUGACACAUGUGCACUUGAUUUUUUGAAGGCGGGGUAGAGCUUGUCUUUGAAAUCUUAUUAAACUCUUAUUCGAUGUAAUGAAUAUUCUUAUCUGCCAAAGGGCAAAAUUUGAUACAACUUUUAACAACGGAUCUCUUGGCUCUCGCAUCGAUGAAGAACGCAGCGAAAUGCGAUAAGUAAUGUGAAUUGCAGAAUUCAGUGAAUCAUCGAAUCUUUGAACGCACCUUGCACUCUCUGGUAUUCCGGAGAGUACUCCUGUUCGAGUGUCAUGGAAACUCUCAAGUAGAGAUAGCUUUGUUGUUAUCCUUGCUUGGAUUUGGGCUUUGCUGUGCCAAUGCAGCUGGCCCUAAAUGCAUUAGCUGGUCCUAAUGAAGGAUUUGGUUCUACUCAGCAUGAUAAUUGGUCUGAUGUUGAGGACAGUCUUAAGAGACUGGCCAGUCGUCUUUGGAUUGCUUCUAAUUGUCCUUGGACAUAACUGUUUGAUUGUCUGACCUCGGAUCAGGUGGGAUUACCCGCUGAACUUAAGCAUAUCAAUAAGCGGAGGA
rnacentral:rRNA from 1 species